rnacentral:rRNA from 1 species
AUACGUAGGGUGCAAGCGUUAAUCGGAAUUACUGGGCGUAAAGCGUGCGCAGGCGGUUUUGUAAGACAGUGGUGAAAUCCCCGGGCUCAACCUGGGAACUGCCAUUGUGACUGCAAGGCUGGAGGGCGGCAGAGGGGGAUGGAAUUCCGCGUGUAGCAGUGAAAUGCGUAGAUAUGCGGAGGAACACCGAUGGCGAAGGCAAUCCCCUGGGCCUGCACUGACGCUCAUGCACGAAAGCGUGGGGAGCAAACAGGAUUAGAUACCCUGGUAGUCCACGCCCUAAACGAUGUCAACUGGUUGUCGGGGAUUUAUUUUCUCAGUAACGAAGCUAACGCGUGAAGUUGACCGCCUGGGGAGUACGGCCGCAAGGUUAAAACUCAAAGGAAUUGACGGGG